CAUAGCAUAUAAAUAAAAUUGUAGUUUUGGAAACGGGAUAAAAGAAGUCUUUCCCCCUCAAAUAUGCACACUCAUCGGUUCGCUCUAGUCCCUUUACCUCUCUAGUAACCACUUCACCAGCCAGAUUUCGGUCGCUAUGACGGACAAUCUCUGCUCUACGCUUGUCCAACUCGAUCUCGUCUUGCUCGUCUCUCGUCUCUCGUCUCGUUGGAUAUAUUGUCUAACAAAUUCUUCGGAAUCAUCGGCAGAGAUGGUGUGUUUGGAAUCGUUGGAUCUGAGUUUAAAAACUUCUAUGGUAUAAUUUCGAAGUGGCUGUGUCAAGAUCCUAGGAAUCGUUUGAAGGAACUGUUCAUACAGAAUAAUCACUUUACAGGAACUGGGUAGCAUAAAGACGCUGCAGAAUUUAAUCUUGGACUUCAAUAAACCAACAGAAAGUAUUCCUGGGAUUUAAGCAACUGCACACAAUUUAAUUGGAUUUCUCUUUUGAACAACAGACUCACGGAGGAGAUUCCUCUGGAUUGGAAAGCUUUUGAAUUUGACGAUCUUAAAACUUAGCAACAACUCAUUCUUCGACAGCAUUUUGAUGGAGUUGGACAACUGCCACAGCUUGAUUUGGUUGGAUCUCAACACCAAUAAGCUGACCGGAGCAAUCCUGCAGGAGUUUUUCAAAUAGUUAGAGAAGAUUA